UCGGGCAUGGUGUAUGGUACACCGCCUCUCCCAUUUAGACAUGUCAGGACGAAGAUUGUGAGGCAGACCGGGGUUCGACUCCCCGUGUCCGAA